rnacentral:rRNA from 1 species
UGGGGAAUUUUGGACAAUGGGCGAAAGCCUGAUCCAGCAAUGCCGCGUGUGUGAAGAAGGCCUUCGGGUUGUAAAGCACUUUUGUCCGGAAAGAAAUCCUUGGCUCUAAUACAGUCGGGGGAUGACGGUACCGGAAGAAUAAGCACCGGCUAACUACGUGCCAGCAGCCGCGGUAAUACGUAGGGUGCGAGCGUUAAUCGGAAUUACUGGGCGUAAAGCGUGCGCAGGCGGUUUGCUAAGACCGAUGUGAAAUCCCCGGGCUCAACCUGGGAACUGCAUUGGUGACUGGCAGGCUAGAGUAUGGCAGAGGGGGGUAGAAUUCCACGUGUAGCAGUGAAAUGCGUAGAGAUGUGGAGGAAUACCGAUGGCGAAGGCAGCCCCCUGGGCCAAUACUGACGCUCAUGCACGAAAGCGUGGGGAGCAAACAGGAUUAGAUACCCUGGUAGUCCACGCCCUAAACGAUGUCAACUAGUUGUUGGGGAUUCGUUUCCUUAGUAACGUAGCUAACGCGUGAAGUUGACCGCCUGGGGAGUACGGUCGCAAGAUUAAAACUUAAAGGAAUUGACGGGGUCAUAGCUGUUUCCU